rnacentral:tmRNA from 1 species
GGGGUAGUUUAGGUUUCGACAUAUAUUACUAGGUAUGAUUGCAAGUAGUUGGCAAACUAUAAAUGCACAAAAAAAUAAAUAACGAAACAUUUGGUUUCGCUCCUGCAUACGCUUAACAGAUAGCGUGGAGCACUUCUAUCUUUCUUCCUCAUAGGAAAGAAUAGGGGUUCGAUUAUAUGAGGUAUAAACAUGGUAGUGUUUGGAUAUCGUGUUUGAAUCAUUUCUAAACUUACUAUUUACAAGGUACGUAUUAGCCAUAUAAAUAGGAAAUUAAAGUCAUACUAAACUUGUAGAAGUUAUAUCAUAGGGUAUAUUGGACAGGAGUUCGAAUCUCCUCUACUCCACCA